CGGAGGAGAAAGGCAGGCUUCGGCGUUAGCGACGUUAGUGGCACAUGCGGCGUUCGCUCUGUGAGAUAAAGUUGACGAAAACUCGCAGACGCCACUUGUGAUGAUUUGGAGAUCAGUCCUCGGUGAUCAUGUGCUUGUUAUAGAGGCUGAAUGACCUUCAGGAGUCCUCUCCAGUCAGGCUUCAAAAGCAGCACAUUCCUCAAAAAGGACCCUUUGGGCUGUUAUUGUCAAGCUUCACGCCGUUAGUUCAACCAAACCAUCAUGGGUUCUGAAGCUUCUGUUGACCUCUCAGCAGCCUUUGAAACGGCUACAUGGUGAACAACUGAUAGGUUCUAACAAAUAGUGCUAUGGAAGCUCACUGUUGCCAUGCAAGGAAAAAGAAAGAAAAAAUGGUAACCAUACCGUUAAAACAGGAUCAACACAUUGUUUUUAUCAUAUAUUUAUCUCAUUACAACUUUUUUUUUUUCCCCUUAUAAUGUUUUCUGGUAAUAAGAUGCAUUCUUGUAGUAACAAGAUGCUAUUCUCUCAAUAUGGAGAUUAUUUAUCUAAUAACAUUUUUCUUUUAGUAAGGAGUUGUUGUUUUUUUCCAUAAUAACAAGGAGUUUUCCUAUAAUAACAUGCUUUUCUCGUAAUAACCAGACUGGGAUUUUUUUUUUUUUUUCCCCAGCGUGGCAGCAAUACACUUCAAUAAUAAACUCUUAACACUUAAAUGAAUCGUACAAACAGUUUGAAAAGUUCAAGGUAUUUUUAGACCAUGGACUAUUUGUACUAUCACGACGUUUUUCAAUUUCAGUGUACACUAUACAUUUACAUUAAAGACGUGUACAGUAUAUGUUUAUGCAAAUGAUUCACCGCUGCUUGCUUGAAUACAUUACAGUGUUGGAUAUCACUGUGUGCUUUUAACUGUAAAUGAUGACAGUUAACACGUUACUUUACUUUUAGGCUUCAUCCGUGUGAGCCGAUGUGGCGCGUCAAGAAGUGUGUGUGGAGCUUCUGAAACAAACUUCGUCUUCAUAACAUCUGUAUCGUUCUGAUGUUCGUCCCAAGCGCUCGUGGUGAUAAUUGGGUUUGUAAGCAAGUUCAUUUACUGCAACAGUGCUGUACUUCCAGAGAUGCAAUGGACAAGACAACAAGCCUGGACAAAGCGCGAAAUUAAAACGAAACGCUUGCUGCAUUACCACAGUGCUAAAUCUAACAAUUUAUUUUGCUUUGCUCUUGUCUAAUAUUUGUGUUCCCAUUUAAACUAUUUAUUUUUUAAAAUUUUUUUUAAUGAUUCAUCAUCUAGCAACUUUUUUUCCAUGGCAUGGCACAGUUCCAAUCGCUCCUUGCGCUCGUCUUAGUCUUAGGUGUGCUUUUAUUAAUGUUUUGCCACAUGCCUUUGUUUUGGUCCCACAUCUGUCCUGUCCUUGGUUUGUUUACCAAAUGUGUGCACCUGUUCAGUGUUUAUAGCCCUUAAUGAGUUAGUCUAUGAAUACCCUUUUGUUUCUCUGCUUCGCUGAAUGCUAUAUAUUAUAAUACCAUGUUUUCCUGAGGGCCUUGUUUCUUCAUUCUGUGUUUCCUGGAUUCAACUCUCACUUGUUCUUAUGUUUACGGACUUGCGUUCUGCACUCACUCAUAUAUAAUUACAUUUACUUUGUGUGCAUUAUACCGCACAGUUUAUGGAUUUGAGGCAGAACCAAAAUGUACAUUUUGGAUCGCGAUUCCAGAAUUUGAAACCCGACCGAUCCGUUUUAAAUGCGCAAUCAUUUAACAGAACGUAGAAGCGCUUACCCAUAAAUAAAAAUUAAUUAAUUAAUUAAUUAAUUAAUAAAAAGUGUUUGUUUAGGGGUGAAUAUUUCAGUUAGAAAAUGGUUUAGAAUGUUUUUUUUUUUUUUAAAGAUUUGCUUUAUAGCUGCCUACACACUGUGACCUUUGUCUGUUAUUACGAAAGGUCUUGUCUCUCUGACGAAAAAUGUUUCAUUUUCUUCCCUCAGUGACGAAUCCUUACUAAGAAUAGAUCUGAAAGACCGAGGGACAUAUGCGGGGGGGGGGGGAGAAAACGCCACAAAUGAAUCGAUAACCCAAGCUACUGAUUGGUGGACUAGAUUGUUAGCAAGAUUAACCCUUAAAAUAAAAAUAUAAAUAAAUAAAUAAAAAGAGUUACUCAG